rnacentral:tRNA from 1 species
AAGAGGUGUAUAAACAGUUAGAGCUGCUAACUCCU